rnacentral:tRNA from 1 species
ACUCAGUAGCUGAGUGGACAACGCGAUGGAGUUUGAAGCGAACGGUGCUGGGUUCGAGUCCCUCGCAGAGUGA